UUUAUCACCCCUCAUAGACUCCCCACCGUGGUCGGGGGCAUCGCGUCCCGCUGUCGCCCUCCUUCAUCGCGGCCCCCCGCCGUCCACGGCCGCAGUCGCGGCCCGCCCUCCACGGCCCUCAUCGUUCGCAACCCCGUCAUUGAACCCUGCCUUCUGUGCCCGACGUCCGCACUCGUGCCGUCUGCGGCCCUCGCCAUCGAUCCCGCCAUCCGCGCCGCCAUCCGCUCUCGCCGUCAAACCGCGCCGUCCGUGCCCGCCAUCCGCCCUGCUGUCGACCCCGCAGUCCGCCCCGCCAUCGACCCCGCCGUCCAUUUCCCCCGCCGACAACCAGUACUCCGCGUCUCCGGUCCAGCUUUGCUAUGAUUCAAAUCCGACUGAUUUGGGGCUGAGCAAGGACCGAAGGAGAUUGCCGUGAAGCUAGUGUGCAGUUUCAGCAUAAUCAAGAAUAUUUCAGGACGAGCAAUAGCCUUGUCAGUCAAGGUAAAACCUCUUCUUUAUUUUUUGGAUAAUGAUGUGAUUCUAUGCUUGUUGUGAGAGGCCAUUUUAACAGUUGUAUAUGUUUGUUCUAGUACCUAAUAUAACAUGGUAGAAAAUAUGUUAUAACUAAUAUACUCUUCAUUUAAUCAAAGUAAUAGUUAACAUGUCACACCGCACAUGGAUGUAUAGUGGUUGGCAGCAUGGCAAAACUCCCUCUAAUUACUGGAUUGAUCAAACAACUGAGUUCUUGAAUCAUGCAUUUUCAUUUCCCGGUGUAGGUCAAAAUGAUACCAUUAAGUAUCCUUGUGCCAUGUGCUGCAACUACUUUAGACACAAAAGGUUCACAGUAGAGUUGCACUUGUGUAAGCAUAUGGGUUCAGGGAAGGCUAUGAAACGUGGACACAACAUGGUGAGAGUCUUGUUAGGAAUGAUGAAUGCGAUAUUAUUGCAAAUGGAGAGGGUUUUGAUAAGACUGACCAAAUGGAUCAAAUGCUGGUUGAUCUAGGUGCAGACUAUCGGCCUAACAUAGAUGAUGAACCAAUAGCAUAUGCCCAAGCUUUCUAUCGGAUGGUUGCUAGUGCAGAUGAGUUAGUGCAUGAGAAAACCACACUCAAGUUUGUCUGUUGUUGCUCGUUUACUUGCUGUAAAAUCACGAUACAACAUGUCAAUUGCAGAAUAUGAUGAUAUUAUAGGGAUAAUACAUGAGCUCCUUCCCCCAAAUUCUAAGUUACCGAAUGACUUCUACCACUCGAGGAAACUAUUAUUAUAUUAGAAGGUCUUUGUAUGCCGUGUGUGAAAAUUUGAUGGUUGAACAAUUGCAAGCUAUACUACAAAGAUAAUGAGGACAAAGAGAAAUGUGAUUUUUGUGGUACAUGACUUCAUGGCAUAUGGAGACUUUGCUGGUUGGAGCACACAUGGUAGAUUGGCAAGCCCAUGUGGAUAUGGCUGCAAAGGAUUCUAACUCCGCAAUGGUCAUAAGGCUUGCUGGUUUGAUUGUCAUAGGUGUUUCCUACCAACAGAUCAUGUAUUUAGAAAAUAAGCUAAUGCAUUUCGUAAGAACACAAAAGUGUUUGAUGAGCCACCUUGACUCUUAACGGGGGAGGUAGUACAAGCCAAUUUGAACAUAUUUGUAGGUCAUAUAGAAACCUUUGGUAGAUUGCAGAAUUGGACACAUGUUCUUUGUUUUAGGCAGCUUCUAUAUUUCCAUAAGUUGCUACUGCCACACAAUAUUGAUGUGAUGCACAAUGAAAAGAAUAUGGGUGAAGCUGUAUGAAACACAUGCUUCGACACUAAUAAGACCAAAGAUAACAUGAAAGAUAGACUAGAUUUAGCUAUGAUUUGUAACCGACCUUCACUCCAUUUAGUGGAGAAGAAUAAUGGGAAGUGGGAGAGACCAAGAGCUCCAUUCUAUAUUGAAAAAAAUGACAAGGCAACCAUCCUUCAAUGGUUCCAACACUUGAAGUUUCCUGAUGCAUAUGCAGCCAAUUUGAGGUGUGGUGUUAACCUGCUGCAAUGGAAAAAUUUUGGUCUAAAGAGUCAUGACUACCACAUCUUUAUUGAAAGGUUACACCCUGUUGCGUUCCGUGGGUUUCUACUAGAUAAUAUUUGGUGUUCUUUAGCUGAGCUUAGUUUCUUCUAUCAGUGUCGAAGCAUGUGCAUGAGCAACCUUUGAAUGAGCAGGUGUUGUAUGAUGUGUCUUCUGAUUCAAGAACCCAUGGGCGUUUUGCAAUAGCAAAUGGUGCUGUUAGGGCGGCAGAUGUGAGGGCUGCUGCAAGGAAGAGGGGUUUGCAGCCAUCAAAUCCAGUGUCUUUGCAAAGCAUGGCCCGAGAAAUGGCACUCCUUCAUUGUGCAUUACAUAAAUGAUCUUGUGCUAUGCCUGUAGGGACUGUAUCGGGACUUAGGAAAGGAAAUUCUAGAGGAUGCAUUGCAGCCUGCCAGUUGCCCAAGCAAUUGUGAGUAUUUAUAUUGCUUUCUUGCAUUCUGCCUCAAGGACACAUCUCUCUGUACAUGUUGAAAAUAUUAGGAAACGUUGAUUCCAGUGCUGAAUGUUUUGCAAGAAAUAUUGUUACAGUUGGGAAACUAUGUGCGUACAUAGUCCCUUGGAAGCUAACUGCAAAUUUGUGGUAUUCAGAAUGGCUACACACCGUGCAGCAGUGAGGAAGUGGCCUCAUGUUGAUUAUUGCAUAGCAUCUGGACUUAUUUGCAUUAGUUCAGAUCUUAUGGACAGAUAGAUAGAUCUCAUGGCUCCAAUUUGGACUGGUUUUAGUAGUCUAUCUUAGGUGCUAGGGGGCAACUGGAUCAUCUCAUGUUGGCUCGGAGUCCACUAACAAUAGCAUUGAUGACGAUGGUCAUGAUGCUGAGGAUCUCGGCAGAACACAUUGACAACAACAUUGAUGCCAGCAACCAGCAGAGCAGAAACAGUGCAUCUGGGUAAUGGUGCAGCUUGUUUAGUUUUGUAGAGAUGACAGCUUCACCUUUUGUAGAGUUGUCACUAUUAAUUAGGAGAAUGAUAGUAUGACUUCAUUUAUCCAUCUUUGUCUAUUGUUGUGCUAGAAGUUUAUGGCGAUACUUUUGUGGGCUCCUUAUUAGGUUGGUAGGAGUUUAUCUAUCUCUGUCUACUGUUGUGCUAGAAGUUUAUGGCGAUACUUUUGUGGGCUCCUUAUUAGGUUGGUAGGAGUCUGGUAGUUGUGGGAUCCUUAUUAGCUAGGUCGGUAGGAGUCUGGUAGUAUGACCUAGUUUACUGAUCUCUAGUUGUUCUAGAAGUUCAAUGUUGUGUUGAGGUCUUAUUUUACUAACCUUUAUGGAUGACAUUUGUAACUGAUGUUUGUAUGAUGAUGAAAUCUCUCUAUAUAUAUGUAUAAAUAUCUCUCUAUAUAUAUAUGUGGUU